rnacentral:lncRNA from 1 species
AUCGGUUUGGUACGGCAAUGACAAAAUAAAUUUGGUGGCACGUCGCUGCACACGUUCAACGGUCAAGAUGUUGUUUACCGUCUGGGGUGCCCAUACCUGACUACCAUGCUUCUAGAUCGUUUAGGUUUGGGUGCUUGGGGAUUGUAAUCAAGCUUGUAGUCGUAACCGCUUUUUUGUAGUGCUUCUUGAUAUGGGGGAAUGGCGGAAUCAAAUGAUUGCUUAUCCGAUGAUAUGUUGGAUAGUCUAUUGUUUAUGGCUUGCGGUAUUGAUCGUAAUAUUGAUGAUGGGUGGUUACUUUCGCGGUUUACGUAUUGUGGUGUGUUUCCGGGUUUCAUGUAAGGCUU